rnacentral:lncRNA from 1 species
GGGGGUGAGGGAUGGAAUUGGGGAGGUACAGAGAGUAACCCCCAAGAAUAUUAGUAUCGAAAGAGAGAACUUGAGCCAACCCUGGAAUCCUAACUAUAAAAGAUCUCUGUUGUCUUGAUUUUGUUUUUGUUUCAGGUGAGGUUUGCGAAUCUGUUUCACUAGUAUCUGAUUGAGAGACGAUGGCUUCGAUUGUUUCUUUUGCAUUUGACGAGGCCAUCGAACAUUGACAAUUGGAGUUCCUUUAUCCUUGC